rnacentral:rRNA from 1 species
GACGAACGCUGGCGGCGUGCUUAACACAUGCAAGUCGAACGGAAAGGCCCUGCUUGCAGGGUACUCGAGUGGCGAACGGGUGAGUAACACGUGGGUGAUCUGCCCUGCACUUCGGGAUAAGCUUGGGAAACUGGGUCUAAUACCGGAUAGGAACCAUCUUUAGUGUGGUGGUUGGAAAGUUUUUUCGGUGUAGGAUGAGCUCGCGGCCUAUCAGCUUGUUGGUGGGGUAAUGGCCUACCAAGGCGGCGACGGGUAGCCGGCCUGAGAGGGUGUACGGCCACAUUGGGACUGAGAUACGGGCCAGACUCCUACGGGAGGCAGCAGUGGGGAAUAUUGCACAAUGGGCGCAAGCCUGAUGCAGCGACGCCGCGUGGGGGAUGAAGGCCUUCGGGUUGUAAACUCCUUUCGCUAGGGACGAAGCUUUGUUGUGACGGUACCUAGAUAAGAAGCACCGGCUAACUACGUG